UUUACUUUUUUUCUGAAAAAAAAAAAAAAUACAAAAGAUUUUGGUCUUUGAUACAUCUAGUUUUUAAAACAUUUAGAUUUUUGGAAUAUUUAAGUUUAGUUAUGUGAUUAUCACAGACAUGAAAACUUGCCCUGAAAGGUACAUUCUCAUCUCUACUAAGAUGGCGUGGAUUAAAGCUCAGAGUUACUGUAGACAGUAUUACACAGACCUGACCAGCAUAAGAGAUGAAACAGAAUACUUAAUUAUAUAUGAUAUGGCAACUCCUUUAGAAACAUUGACUUGGAUUGGUCUGUUCAGAGACUCCUGGAAGUAGAUAGACCAAAGUAAAGUUUCUAAGAGCACCUGGACAACCUGACUAUAUACAAGAGAAAGAAUAUUGUGGUUAUUUAAAUAACCAUGAGACUGUAAAUGCACUCGGCUCAGACAUAAUGCCUUUCUUCUGUUACUCAGGUGAGUUAAAAUCUUAUUCCGUCUCAUCUGACUGCUCUCCAAAUGCAAUGUGUUAAUAGUUCUCAUAUCUGUUUUCUCAUGUGGUUUUCAUCAUUUCUACCUUCAGCAAACAAACGGCAACAAAUCUUGAAAUUGAAGGUUCGAUCCAAUCAGGAUGCAAAUAAUCCUGCAUUAAAGGUGGCCAUCAUGAAGCAAUAAAUCAAAAAAUAAAGUAUCAUGGAUGGCAGAGAUCAUCAGUGUGAAAUGGAGAGAGCAACCAGAUGGGGUGCCAUUUCAAAAGUGCCAGACCAGUGCCAUGGCUGUCUGUCCUUUACAGAUAUAUAAGAUCUUAUUUUAUCCUAACCUAAAGUAACAUAAAAUAGGAUAAUUUUAGAAGUAAAGAUGGAGGAAGUGGAGUGUAUUGUGUAGACCAUACUGUACUUACCUAAGUCCUUAGCUCUGUCUAUGUUUAAUGCAGCACCAGAAUCCGGGAGAAACAUUUUAUUGUGUACUGCAACAACUAUUUAUGGUCAAAAUGACAAUAAAAGCUUCUUGACUUGACUUGACUUCUUGACUCUUGAGCAUUAGCCUGACAUCUAGCCACCACCCACAAUCUAACUGUCAGGCAGAACAGCUCAACCAGGAAAUCGGCCGCUACCUCAGAACCUACUGGCACAGAAAACAGCAUCGAUGGAGUGAAUUUCUACAUUGGGAUGAAUGGGCUCAGAACAGAGACAAUAUUGUUCGUAGAUGCCCACACCACCCGUUCACAAUCGGGGAUCAGGUGUGGCUCUCUACUCGUAUCCUCAAACCAAAACUCCUCUGUCGGAAACUAAGCCCUCGCUUCAUUAGCCCAUUCCUAUAUCAGCAAACAAGUGAACUGUGUCACCUACAGACUCCAACUCCCCAAUCAGGAAAAUAACCGGGAGGAACGCCCCUCCUCCAGACAUUUACGGAUUUCCCACCUGUUGUGUUUGGGCAUUACUGGAUGCUGAAGGUGGCACCUUUAGAAUCUCAUGGACUGGAAGGGGUAUGGCUUAGAAAAACAAUCUUUCUCGUGUAAAGAUAUCCUAGACCCAGCUCUUACGGCGAGUUCCACCGAGUUCAC